rnacentral:rRNA from 1 species
AUGUCCUUGGGGUUGGGUGCGGCAACUCGCGACUCCAAGACAUUUCGUGCAUGCAUGUGCUCCCCUGCGCUUGGUGACCAAUACAUCUACUCCGUCGUGAACAUGUGCUUCGUGUCAUACAGGUCGCCGCCAAGGGUUAUGUGCAUUAUUGAUCAGCCAAUCUUGAGAGAGAGAUGGGUUUGCGUGAAUGGGAAGAAAACUACAUUGAAUAGACAAGAAGUAUGCCCUCAACUUUUUCAUGUUUCUUCUUUGCUUUUUCAUGGCAUCGGGAUGCCCACUGCCGACGGCGCUGCGUUGCUACCAAAGGGGCACCCUGCCGCGGCCAGGGACUCGCUGCCGUCGAAGCACGGCACCUUGCCGUCACGUAUGUUGGGUGUUGUGGUGCUGCAGAUUUGGUAUUGUUGUUCUGUUCACUUAACCCAGUCUGUAGCAGCAGCUUUUCAUGUCGUUUCCUCGCCAACAAAUGUCAUAAUUUAUCACUCUAUGAAGAAUUGCAAGGAGGAGGAUAAUAGAGCAGCAACCAGAGCUGACAAUUGGCCUGUAAAUGCAGCAAAGUUCUCCUAG